AUUGAACGCUGGCGGCAGGCCUAACACAUGCAAGUCGAGCGGAUGAAGGGAGCUUGCUCCUGGAUUCAGCGGCGGACGGGUGAGUAAUGCCUAGGAAUCUGCCUGGUAGUGGGGGAUAACGUCCGGAAACGGGCGCUAAUACCGCAUACGUCCUGAGGGAGAAAGUGGGGGAUCUUCGGACCUCACGCUAUCAGAUGAGCCUAGGUCGGAUUAGCUAGUUGGUGGGGUAAAGGCCUACCAAGGCGACGAUCCGUAACUGGUCUGAGAGGAUGAUCAGUCACACUGGAACUGAGACACGGUCCAGACUCCUACGGGAGGCAGCAGUAGGGAAUAUUGGACAAUGGGCGAAAGCCUGAUCCAGCCAUGCCGCGUGUGCGAAGAAGGUCUUCGGAUUGUAAAGCACUUUAAGUUGGGAGGAAGGGCAGUAAGUUAAUACCUUGCUGUUUUGACGUUACCAACAGAAUAAGCACCGGCUAACUUCGUG
rnacentral:rRNA from 1 species